GGAUUAGCUAGUUGGUGGGGUAAAGGCUCACCAAGGCGACGAUCCGUAGCGGGUCUGAGAGGAUGAUCCGCCACACUGGGACUGAGACACGGCCCAGACUCCUACGGGAGGCAGCAGUGGGGAAUUUUGGACAAUGGGCGCAAGCCUGAUCCAGCCAUGCCGCGUGAGUGAAGAAGGCCUUCGGGUUGUAAAGCUCUUUCGGCCGGGAAGAAAUCGCACUCUCUAACAUAGGGUGUGGAUGACGGUACCGGACUAAGAAGCACCGGCUAACUACGUGCCAGCAGCCGCGGUAAUACGUAGGGUGCGAGCGUUAAUCGGAAUUACUGGGCGUAAAGCGUGCGCAGGCGGUUUUGUAAGACAGAUGUGAAAUCCCCGGGCUUAACCUGGGAACUGCGUUUGAAACUACAAAGCUAG
rnacentral:rRNA from 1 species